UACGUAGGGGGCAAGCGUUGUCCGGAAUCAUUGGGCGUAAAGAGCGUGUAGGCGGCUCGGUAAGUCCGCUCUGAAAGCCCGGGGCUCAACCCCGGGAGGCGGGCGGAUACUGUCGGGCUAGAGUCCGGAAGAGGCUAGUGGAAUUCCUGGUGUAGCGGUGAAAUGCGCAGAUAUCAGGAGGAACACCAAUGGCGAAGGCAGCUCGCUGGGACGGUACUGACGCUGAGACGCGAAAGCGUGGGGAGCAAACAGG
rnacentral:rRNA from 1 species